GCUCCCGUAGCUCAGCUGGAUAGAGCAACGGCCUUCUAAGCCGUGGGUCCCUGGUUCAAAUCCAGGCGGGGGCG
rnacentral:tRNA from 1 species